rnacentral:rRNA from 1 species
UACCAGCACCCCGAGUGGUCGGGACGAUUAUUGGGCCUAAAGCAUCCGUAGCCGGUACUGCAAGUCUUCCGUUAAAUCCACCUGCUCAACAGUUGGGCUGCGGGGGAUACUACAGCGCUAGGAGGCGGGAGAGGCAAGCGGUACUCAGUGGGUAGGGGUAAAAUCCAUUGAUCUACUGAAGACCACCAGUGGCGAAGGCGGCUUGCCAGAAUGCGCUCGACGGUGAGGGAUGAAAGCUGGGGGAGCAAACAGG